UAAGUUAAUAAGGGCGCACGGUGGAUGCCUUGGCACUAGGAGCCGACGAAGGACGUGACAAACGACGAUAUGCCUUGGGUAGCUGUAAGUAAGCGAUGAUCCAGGGAUUUCCGAAUGGGGGAACCCAACAGGUAAUACCUGUUACCUACAUCUGUUAAGGAUGUGAGGAGGAAGACGCAGUGAACUGAAACAUCUAAGUAGCUGCAGGAAGAGAAAGCAAAAGCGAUUGCCUUAGUAGCGGCGAGUGAAACGGCAGAAGGGCAAACCGAAGAGUUUACUCUUCGGGGUUGUAGGACUGCAAUGUGGACUCAAAGAUUAUAGAAGAAUGAUUUGGGAAGAUCAGCCAAAGAGAGUAAUAGCCUCGUAUUUAAAAUAGUCUUUGUACUUAGCAGUAUCCUGAGUACGGCGGGACACGUGAAAUCCCGUCGGAAUCUGGGAGGACCAUCUCCCAACCCUAAAUACUCCCUAGUGACCGAUAGUGAACCAGUACCGUGAGGGAAAGGUGAAAAGCACCCCGGGAGGGGAGUGAAAUAGAACCUGAAACCGUGUGCCUACAACAAGUUCGAGCCCGUUAAUGGGUGAGAGCGUGCCUUUUGUAGAAUGAACCGGCGAGUUACGUUAUGAUGCGAGGUUAAGUUGAAGAGACGGAGCCGUAGGGAAACCGAGUCUGAAUAGGGCGCCUUAGUAUCAUGACGUAGACCCGAAACCAUGUGACCUACCCAUGAGCAGGUUGAAGGUGCGGUAAGACGCACUGGAGGACCGAACCAGGGCACGUUGAAAAGUGCUUGGAUGACUUGUGGGUAGCGGAGAAAUUCCAAACGAACUUGGAGAUAGCUGGUUCUCUCCGAAAUAGCUUUAGGGCUAGCGUCGACAUUAGAGAUUCUUGGAGGUAGAGCACUGUUUGGGUGAGGGGUCCAUCCCGGAUUACCAAUCUCAGAUAAACUCCGAAUGCCAAUGAAUUAUGGUCGGCAGUCAGACUGCGAGUGCUAAGAUCCGUAGUCGAAAGGGAAACAGCCCAGACCACCAGCUAAGGUCCCAAAAUAAUUGUUAAGUGGAAAAGGAUGUGGGGUUGCACAGACAACUAGGAUGUUAGCUUAGAAGCAGCUAUUCAUUCAAAGAGUGCGUAAUAGCUCACUAGUCGAGUGACCCUGCGCCGAAAAUGUACCGGGGCUAAAACAAUUUACCGAAGCUGUGGAUACCUUUAUAGGUAUGGUAGGAGAGCGUUCUAUGUGUGAUGAAGGUAUACCGUGAGGAGUGCUGGAACGCAUAGAAGUGAGAAUGCCGGUAUGAGUAGCGAAAGACAGGUGAGAAUCCUGUCCACCGUAAGACUAAGGUUUCCAGGGGAAGGCUCGUCCGCCCUGGGUUAGUCGGGACCUAAGGAGAGACCGAAAGGUGUAUCCGAUGGACAACAGGUUGAUAUUCCUGUACUAGAGUAUGUAGUGAUGGAGGGACGCAGUAGGCUAACUAAAGCAGACGAUUGGAAGAGUCUGUCUAAGCAGUGAGGUGUGAAUUGAGUCAAAUGCUUAAUUCUAUAACAUUGAGCUGUGAUGGGGAGCGAAGUUUAGUAGCGAAGUUAGUGACGUCACACUGCCAAGAAAAGCUUCUAGCGUUUAAACAUACUCUACCCGUACCGCAAACCGACACAGGUAGUCGAGGCGAGUAGCCUCAGGUGAGCGAGAGAACUCUCGUUAAGGAACUCGGCAAAAUGACCCCGUAACUUCGGGAGAAGGGGUGCUGACUUAAAGUCAGCCGCAGUGAAUAGGCCCAAGCAACUGUUUAUCAAAAACACAGCUCUCUGCUAAAUCGUAAGAUGAUGUAUAGGGGGUGACGCCUGCCCGGUGCUGGAAGGUUAAGAGGAGUGCUUAGCGUAAGCGAAGGUAUGAAUUGAAGCCCCAGUAAACGGCGGCCGUAACUAUAACGGUCCUAAGGUAGCGAAAUUCCUUGUCGGGUAAGUUCCGACCCGCACGAAAGGCGUAAUGAUUUGGGCACUGUCUCAACGAGAGACUCGGUGAAAUUUUAGUACCUGUGAAGAUGCAGGUUACCCGCGACAGGACGGAAAGACCCCAUGGAGCUUUACUGCAGUUUGAUAUUGAGUGUCUGUACCACAUGUACAGGAUAGGUAGGAGUCUAAGAGAUCGGGACGCCAGUUUCGAAGGAGACGCUGUUGGGAUACUACCCUUGUGUUAUGGCCACUCUAACCCAGAUAGGUGAUCCCUAUCGGAGACAGUGUCUGACGGGCAGUUUGACUGGGGCGGUCGCCUCCUAAAAGGUAACGGAGGCGCCCAAAGGUUCCCUCAGAAUGGUUGGAAAUCAUUCGCAGAGUGUAAAGGUAUAAGGGAGCUUGACUGCGAGAGCUACAACUCGAGCAGGGACGAAAGUCGGGCUUAGUGAUCCGGUGGUUCCGUAUGGAAGGGCCAUCGCUCAACGGAUAAAAGCUACCCUGGGGAUAACAGGCUUAUCUCCCCCAAGAGUUCACAUCGACGGGGAGGUUUGGCACCUCGAUGUCGGCUCGUCGCAUCCUGGGGCUGUAGUCGGUCCCAAGGGUUGGGCUGUUCGCCCAUUAAAGCGGCACGCGAGCUGGGUUCAGAACGUCGUGAGACAGUUCGGUCCCUAUCCGUCGCGGGCGUAGGAAAUUUGAGAGGAUCUGCUCCUAGUACGAGAGGACCAGAGUGGACUUACCGCUGGUGUACCAGUUGUCUUGCCAAAGGCAUCGCUGGGUAGCUAUGUAGGGAAGGGAUAAACGCUGAAAGCAUCUAAGUGUGAAACCCACCUCAAGAUGAGAUUUCCCAUGAUUAUAUAUCAGUAAGAGCCCUGAGAGAUGAUCAGGUAGAUAGGUUAGAAGUGGAAGUGUGGCGACACAUGUAGCGGACUAAUACUAAUAGCUCGAGGACUUAUCCA
rnacentral:rRNA from 1 species